UACGUAGGGUGCGAGCGUUAAUCGGAAUUACUGGGCGUAAAGCGUGCGCAGGCGGUUUUGCAAGUCAGAUGUGAAAGCCCCGGGCUCAACCUGGGAACUGCGUUUGAAACUGCAAGGCUAGAGUAUGGGAGAGGGAGGUAGAAUUCCACGUGUAGCAGUGAAAUGCGUAGAGAUGUGGAGGAAUACCAAUGGCGAAGGCAGCCUCCUGGCCUAAUACUGACGCUCAUGGCACGAAAGCGUGGGAGCAAACAGG
rnacentral:rRNA from 1 species